GCCUCGGUAGCUGAGAUAGAUUAGCGCCGCUCUGAAGAAGCGGAGACGGGGGAGCGUUACCCUCCCGGGGCACCA
rnacentral:tRNA from 1 species